AUGCCGCACGUGCCAUUGUUAUGAAUGUGGAUAGAGGGUGCCCAAAGAAGGUGUUGGCAGCCAAGAGAGCUGGGCUGUAAAAGGGGACAUCUUGAAGAGAAGUGGCUACAGGUAGCGAACCAGCUAUUUGGUCAUCACCUAUGAGGCAAGCAUCUGAGCGUAAGAGGAAUCUGGGAGCUGAAUCGAAAAGGUGAUAGGUCAGAAACAGAGACAGGCACAUCAAGUGCUGUCCUUCUUCCGUGUAGUUAAAGACCGAGGGAAUUGUUGGUUAAGCAGGUGCGUGCGAAGGUUUGAGAAAGGGUACAGGACAGUAACGAUAGUACUGAAGCAGGAUCAAAACAAGGCUUCAUGGAAGAUGGCAUAGAGCUAGAACCAAUGAUAGUAAAUGCUGACGGAGAGGAAAGCUGGACAAGCGGUCUUUUCGUGAUUAAUACCUAAGGGACGAAGUGAAUGAAACGAGGAAGCAAAAAUGCAGUAGACCCCUGAACUGCUGCAGAAGGAGGUGUUCUGCUACGGGCAAGUAAGAUAGAAAGGGAAGGAUACAAUACUUACUCUUUCGGACGAAUUGCCAGGGCUGAAGUUGAAGAGACCAGAAAAACGUAAGCAAGCUGAGGUGCGAAAACCACGUGGAACCAGCCGAGAGCCGUCUCCGUCUCCCGCGAACGAAAGCCCGUCCUUCCUGACUAGGAAGGCUCACUGUUAGUAGCGAUCGAAAUAACGGAUCACAGACGUAUAACGAAGGCGUUCGUAACGUCGGGGAACGACUGCACGCUGCCGUGAAGAAUUACGGGCUACCGCCCUCGGACCUCUGCAAGUUAUCGCGUGUCAGGAGCGGCCGGUAGGAUCCAGAUGCCAGCGGAAAGGUUCUCCUCCCGGUCCCGACGAGGAGCCUUCGGCCGUAGGAAGGUCGGCCGCGUCCUUACCUGUGCUGAGCGUAGUCUGGCCGUCGAAAGAGCGUUGUCGUCGCUGGGAGCUCUCCGCGGAGAUCUGCGUCUGGCCGCCGAAGACGAGCGGAAGGCGAGCCCGGGCUUGCGGCGUGGACGCAGCUAAGUCCCGGGGCUGCAUUGCGUGUGAGCAGGGCUGGGACGUGGCAGUGGUUUUGCCCUUGGCGGUUACGGGCGUCACUGGCCGUGGAUGGUUGCCCGCGGAGCCGAGAGGAGCAAAACUAUCAACGGUCCGUGGGGGAGACGAAUUAGCGCUUGCGGCGUUUCAGAGCUGAAUCCUAUCCCCGAAGGAAAAAGCAGAAGGGGCAGGCCGUCGGCUACGCAGACGCCUGCCGCCUCGGGGGCUGCGGCGGGAGCUGACCCUUCCCCGACGGACGGGCGGACGGUCGGAGAGACAGACGCUGGCGUGGCGAUGACUCUUCAGGUGUCACAGGGUAAGGGGAAGCGUGCCGGCACUGAGCUCCGUGGCAGGCUCGCUCCCAGGUGGCGUUCCUGCCCAGUAAAACAAUAAACAGCCGCUUCAUUCUUUGCGGUCGUGUCUGUGGUUCCGGACGCCCCCCUGCCUGAAGAUGACGCCCAGGGGAGAAGGUUACACGUUGGGCG